GAUGAACGCUAGCGGCAGGCCUAAUACAUGCAAGUCGAACGAGAUUAAGAGGCUUGCUUCUUAUGAAAGUGGCGCACGGGUGCGUAACGCGUAUGCAACCUACCUUAAUCAGGGGGAUAGCCCGAAGAAAUUCGGAUUAAGACCGCAUAAAAACACAGGAUAGCAUUAUCCAAUGUUCAAAUAUUUAUAGGAUUAAGAUGGGCAUGCGUGUCAUUAGCUAGUUGGCGGGGUAACGGCCCACCAAGGCGACGAUGACUAGGGGAUCUGAGAGGAUGACCCCCCACACUGGUACUGAGACACGGACCAGACUCCUACGGGAGGCAGCAGUAAGGAAUAUUGGUCAAUGGAGGGAACUCUGAACCAGCCAUGCCGCGUGCAGGAAGACAGCCCUCGGGGUCGUAAACUGCUUUUAUUCGGGAAUAAACCUUUCUACGUGUAGGAAGCUGAAUGUACCGAAGGAAUAAGGAUCGGCUAACUCCGUG
rnacentral:rRNA from 1 species